rnacentral:rRNA from 1 species
AGCGAACGCUGGCGGCGUGCCUAACACAUGCAAGUCGAACGUGAAAAGGGAAACCUGAGUAAAGUGGCGUACGGGUGAGUAACGCGUAGGUAAUCUACCCCAGAAUCUGGAAUAACCUGCCGAAAGGCGGGCUAAUACUGGAUAGAGCGAGGGAACUCGUAAGAGAGUUUUUCGGGAAAGGGAGCCCGCAAGGGCCUUCGUUCUGGGAUGAGCCUGCGUCUCAUUAGCUAGUUGGUAAGGGAACGGCUUACCAAGGCGAGUAUGAGUAGCUGGUCUGAGAGGAUGAUCAGCCACACUGGAACUGAAACACGGUCCAGACUCCUACGGGAGGCAGCAGUGGGGAAUCUUGCGCAAUGGACGAAAGUCUGACGCAGCCACGCCGCGUGAGUGAAGAAGGCCUUCGGGUUGUAAAGCUCUGUCGGAUGGGACGAACAUCUUCAUAGUGAAUAGCUAUGAGGACUGACGGUACCAUCAAAGGAAGCACCGGCUAACUCCGUG